GAUGAAGAACGUAGCGAAAUGCGAUAAGUAAUGCGAAUUGCAGAAUUCCGUGAGUCAUCGAAUCUUUGAACGCACAUUGCGCCCUCUUGUAUUCCGGAGGGCAUGCCUGUCUGAGCGUCAUUGUCAACCCUCAAGCUCAGCUUGCUGUUGGGUCCCCGUCGUUGCUUUAACGGCGGACCCGAAAGGUAAUGGCAGAGUCCGUGAGACCCUAGACGCAGCGAGCUUCUAGCACGCGUCUGGACGUUUUUCGGGCUCGGUCUUAACUAGAUGAUAACUUCCGAUUGACCUCAGAUCAGGUAGGGAUACCCGCUGAACUUAAGCAUAUCAAUAAGCGGAGGA
rnacentral:misc_RNA from 1 species